GUGUCAUGUAACAGUCGUCUGUCGAGUUGCUUUCGAUUCGAGCGAGUUGGUUGCGGUGGAGGCCGACGUGAAGGGCGCAUGCCCCGCGAUUACUUCGCACGAUAAUUCGCAACGAGGCGCGUAUAACCGGGCUUGUCCGGGAGGAUCGCGUGGUCGCCGGUCAUCGUAUCUCUACUACCCUUCCUCCCCCGCCGACAUACUGAUGUCCAGCUGCCACCAUCGGUCGCCGGGAACAGCACACCGCGCGGAGGGUCCGCAUUAGCCCAUUAUCUUAAUCUGCCAGCGCGUGGGACAAAUAACAGGGUAGCCUAGCCGCACACAUCCCACCGCGACCCACCGCCGCCACACGUCUCCGGUACGCUCUCUGCCUCCUUCUGCCCCACAGCUGUGUCGUGCCCCGUCGCGAUGUACACGCUCGCUUCGUUUAUAUUACGGUCAACGGAAGAGUGUCUCCAGUCAACUGGUAUCUACCUAGCGAUAUCGCAAGACGUUCGAAAAAGUCUAAGAUGAGAAUUCAUAGAUGCACGCGUCGCGUGUGGCGGAGGAUCCGUAGACGACGUUGCGCGUCAUUUUCUAAAAGGCCAGCUAUCGGUCAGCAACGUCGCGUCGUCGGGGUUGCGGUUAAUCCAGUCCGUUGGUCGCGGUCGUGGUCGUGGUCGGCAUCGUGCACGCGGCCGGUCGUAGAUGGUGGGUGGCAAGGUUGUCGAGAAGC
rnacentral:misc_RNA from 1 species